UACGUAGGGUGCAAGCGUUGUCCGGAAUUAUUGGGCGUAAAGAGCUCGUAGGCGGUCUGUCGCGUCUGCUGUGAAAACUCAGGGCUUAACCCUGAGCUUGCAGUGGGUACGGGCAGACUAGAGUGCGGUAGGGGAGACUGGAAUUCCUGGUGUAGCGGUGAAAAUGCGCAGAUAUCAGGAGGGAACACCCGGUGGGCGAAAGG
rnacentral:rRNA from 1 species